AUUGAACGCUGGCGGCAGGCCUAACACAUGCAAGUCGAACGAGUGGCGGACGGGUGAGUAAUGUCUGGGAAACUGCCUGAUGGAGGGGGAUAACUACUGGAAACGGUAGCUAAUACCGCAUACCAUCGGAUGUGCCCAGAUGGGAUUGGCUAGUAGGUGGGGUAAAGGCUCACCUAGCCGCCGAUCCCUAGCUGGGCUGAGAGGAUGACCAACCACACUGGAACUGAGACACGGUCCAGACGCCUACGGGAGGCAGCAGUGGGGAAUAUUGCACAAUGGGCGCAAGCCGUAUGCAGCCAUGCCGCGUGUAUGGAGAAGGCCUUCGGGUUGUAAAGUACUUUCAGCGGUGAGGCGUUACCCGAAGAAGAAGCACCGGCUAACUCCGUGCCAGCAGCCGCGGUAAUAC
rnacentral:rRNA from 1 species